rfam:Triticum aestivum genome assembly, contig: Triticum_aestivum_CS42_TGACv1_scaffold_222231_3B
UGAGUACUCCCUCCGUUCGGAAAUACUUGUCAUCAAAAUGAAUAAAAAGGGAUAUAUCUAGAUGUAUUUUAGUUCUAGAUACAUUCCCUUUUAUCCAUUUUGAUGACAAGUAUUUUCGGACGGAGGGAGUACAUC